CGACGACCGCAGGCGCCCCUCCCUCGACGACGACGACGACCGCAUGCGCUCCUCGACUCGGCGCCGACAGAAUCGACGGGGUCAAGCGCUUCCAUACAGCCCUCGUCGAGCGCAGGUGGUCAAGAAAGAACAUUGCGGCACGGUCGCCGGAGGUGAAGAAGCUCGUCUGCCUACCUCCGCCUCCUCCACUACGCCGAGAUGUAAUGAAUCUGAUUGGAGAUGUU